rnacentral:rRNA from 1 species
UAGACGUCAGAGUUUGAUCCUGGCUCAGAUUGAACGCUUGCGAUAUGCCUAACACAUGCAAGUUGAACGGCAGCGGAUAAAAGAAGUUGCUUCUUUGCCGGCGAGUGGCGAACGGGUGAGUAAUACAUUGGAACAUGGCCUAAAGUGGGGGAGAAAUAACUACUGGAAACGGUAGCUAAUACCGCAUAAUGUCGUUAGACAAAAGUGGGGAACCUUCGGGACCUCACGCUUCAGGAGUGGUCAAUGUCUGAUUAGCUAGUUGGUGGUGUAAAUGACUACCAAGGCAACGAUCAGUAGCUGGUCUGAGAGGAUGGUCAGCCACACUGGAACUGAGACACGGUCCAGACUUCUUCGGAAGGCAGCAGUGGGGAAUCUUGGACAAUGGGGGCAACCCUGAUCCAGCAAUAUCG